rnacentral:tRNA from 1 species
CGGGGGUGUAGCUCAAUUGGUUAGAGCAUCGGACUGUCGAUCCGAAGGUUGCGGGUUCGAGCCCCGUCACCCUCGCUUG